rnacentral:rRNA from 1 species
GAGUUUGAUCUUGGCUCAGAUUGAACGCUGGCGGCAUGCCUUACACAUGCAAGUCGAACGGCAGCACGGGAGCUUGCUCCUUGAUUCAGCGGCGGACGGGUGAGUAAUGCCUAGGAAUCUGCCUGGUAGUGGGGGACAACGUUUCGAAAGGAACGCUAAUACCGCAUACGUCCUACGGGAGAAAGCAGGGGACCUUCGGGCCUUGCGCUAUCAGAUGAGCCUAGGUCGGAUUAGCUAGUUGGUGGGGUAAUGGCUCACCAAGGCGACGAUCCGUAACUGGUCUGAGAGGAUGAUCAGUCACACUGGAACUGAGACACGGUCCAGACUCCUACGGGAGGCAGCAGUGGGGAAUAUUGGACAAUGGGCGAAAGCCUGAUCCAGCCAUGCCGCGUGUGUGAAGAAGGUCUUCGGAUUGUAAAGCACUUUAAGUUGGGAGGAAGGGCAGUAAGUUAAUACCUUGCUGUUUUGACGUUACCGACAGAAUAAGCACCGGCUAACUCUGUGCCAGCA